AGGUGCUGCACUGGCUGUCGUCAGCUCGUGUCGUGAGAUGUUGGGUUAAGUCCCGGCAACGAGCGCAACCCCUGCAUUCAGUUGCCAUCGGGUGAAGCCGGGCACUCUGGAAGGACUGCCAUCGACAAGAUGGAGGAAGGUGGGGACGACGUCAAGUCAUCAUGGCCCUUAUGUCCAGGGCGACACACGUGCUACAAUGGCCGGCACAGCGGGAAGCGAGGCAGUGAUGCCAAGCGGAUCCCUUAAAGCCGGUCUCAGUUCGGAUUGAAGUCUGCAACUCGACUUCAUGAAGCUGGAAUCGCUAGUAAUCGUGGAUCAGCCAAGCCGCGGUGAAUACGUUCCCGGGCCUU
rnacentral:rRNA from 1 species